rnacentral:rRNA from 1 species
CCUACGGGAGGCAGCAGUGGGGAAUAUUGCACAAUGGGGGAAACCCUGAUGCAGCGACUCCGCGUGUGUGAAGACGUCUCUCGGUAUGUACAGCUCUAUCAUCGGGGAAGAUAAUGACGUUACCUGAGUAAGAAGCUCCUGCUAACUACGUGCCAGCAGCCGCGGUCAUACGUAGGGGGAAAGCCGUCUGCGGAUCUACUGGGUGUAAAGGUAGAGUAGACGGCAUGGCAUACAUGAAGUGAAAGCCCGGGGUUAAACCGCGGGACGGCUUAUGAAACUGUUCCGCUGGAGUGCAGGAGAGGUAAGUGGAAUGCCGAGUGUAGCGGUGAAAUGCGUAGAUAUGAGGAAGAACACCAGUGGCGAAGGCAGCUUACUGGAAUGUAACUGACGUUGAGGCUCGAAAGCGUGGGGAGCAAACAGGAUUAGAUACCCUAGUAGUC